rnacentral:rRNA from 1 species
UGGGGGAUAUUGCACAAUGGGCGAAAGCCUGAUGCAGCGACGCCGCGUGGGGGAUGAAGGCUUUCGGGUUGUAAACCUCUUUCGCUAUCGAACAAGGCCCGCUUAGGGUGGGUUGAGGGUAGGUGGAGAAGAAGCGCCGGCUAACUACGUGCCAGCAGCCGCGGUAAUACGUAGGGCGCGAGCGUUGUCCGAAAUUAUUGGGCGUAAAGGGCUUGUAGGCGGCUUGUUGCGCCUGCUGUGAAAACGCGGGGCUUAACUUCGCGCGUGCAGUGGGUACGGGCAGGCUUGAGUGUGGUAGGGGUGACUGGAAUUCCAGGUGUAGCGGUGGAAUGCGCAGAUAUCUGGAGGAACACCGAUGGCGAAGGCAGGUCACUGGGCCAUUACUGACGCUGAGGAGCGAAAGCAUGGGUAGAGAACAGG